rnacentral:rRNA from 1 species
AGACUAGAGUGCGGUAGGGGAGAUUGGAAUUCCUGGUGUAGCGGUGGAAUGCGCAGAUAUCAGGAGGAACACCGAUGGCGAAGGCAGAUCUCUGGGCCGUAACUGACGCUGAGGAGCGAAAGGGUGGGGAGCAAACAGGCUUAGAUACCCUGGUAGUCCACCCCGUAAACGUUGGGAACUAGUUGUGGGGACCAUUCCACGGUUUCCGUGACGCAGCUAACGCAUUAAGUUCCCCGCCUGGGGAGUACGGCCGCAAGGCUAAAACUCAAAGGAAUUGACGGGGACCCGCACAAGCGGCGGAGCAUGCGGAUUAAUUCGAUGCAACGCGAAGAACCUUACCAAGGCUUGACAUACACCAGAACGGGCCAGAAAUGGUCAACUCUUUGGACACUGGUGAACAGGUGGUGCAUGGUUGUCGUCAGCUCGUGUCGUGAGAUGUUGGGUUAAGUCCCGCAACGAGCGCAACCCUCGUUCUAUGUUGCCAGCACGUUAUGGUGGGAACUCAUGGGAUACUGCCGGGGUCAACUCGGAGGAAGGUGGGGAUGACGUCAAAUCAUCAUGCCCCUUAUGUCUUGGGCUUCACGCAUGCUACAAUGGCCGGUACAAANNGCUGCAAUACCGUGAGGUGGAGCGAAUCCCAAAAAGCCGGUCCCAGUUCGGAUUGAGGUCUGCAACUCGACCUCAUGAAGUCGGAGU